ensembl:lncRNA
CGAUCCCCUGCGUGCCUGGGCCCUGACCAGCGCCUCCCCCACCACCCCGCGUGCUGAGUCUCGCAGAGGGGCCGCUCCUGACCAGUCAGGACACUGCAGAGGUCUGGGCUCCUGUGUGGCUGCCCAGCUGCAGGAGACUCCGCUCAUCUGAGGGCGAGCUGUCCGGACCCUCUGGACCGGGGAGUUGGUGUUAUUUUGAAGCAGGUCUUGUGGACUGGCAUGGAUCGCGAGGAGCACCGUUACUUUAUGAACCUCUUGG